rnacentral:rRNA from 1 species
AUUUUCAACGAUGGAUAUCUAGGCUCCUAUACCGAUGAAGAACGCAGCGAAAUGCGAAACGCAAUGCGAAUUGCAGAACCGCGAGUCAUCAGAUCUUUGAACGCAAGUGGCGGCAGCUUCGGCUGUCAUGNUUGUUUCAGUG